GACAAGGUGUAGCAGGUCGACAACAACAAGUUUGGUCGACUUGUGUGUUUUGUUAACUUUGUCAGCAAAUAUUAAUUUGUGGGCCUUCCUCCCUCCCUCGUGAUGUUACAACAAAACAACUUUGGGAAAUUGAACUGCUCCAUAACAGAUGAAAAUGAUAACUGGAGCAUGGAACGAGAGCUGCCACCAGCACUAUCACCAACACUACCAUCACCAUGGCACUAUCAUCACUGCCACCACCACAGCACCACCACCUAUGGCAAGAUGAGUUAACCUUGCAAAAUUGAGCAGCUUCAUCACAACUGAAAAUGAUAACUGCAGGCUGAGACAAAGAGCUGACAUUGUAGAACACUUUAACACCACCACCACCACAGCACCACCACCACACCAGCACAUAAGACAAGAUGAGUUAACGUCUAAACCUUGACAAAUUAACAACUGGAUCAUGGAGACACUGCUGUUACAGUCCAGGGCAGCAAGCACAGAGCAGAGCCAUCCAGGGCAGCACACACAGAACAUAGCAGAGCCAUCCAGGGCAGCAGCCAGCAUGCACAGAGCAGAGCCAUCCAGGGCAGCAGCAAGCACAGAGCAGAGCCGUCCAGGGCAGCAGCACACAGAGCAGAGCAGUCAUGUCUAGGACAGCAGCCAGCACACACAGAGCAGAGCCGUCCAGGGCAGUAGCAAGCAAGUACAGGGAAGUCUAGGGCAGCAGCAAGUACAGGGCAGUGGCCAGUAAGCACAGCCUAGGGCAGCACAGCACUCCAGUGUUCAGAACAUUUCUGUACAAAAUAAAAUGUAAAAUUAA